CGCUCCAUCAAUUCAGGCGAGUGUCGUGGCGAUGACAGCCGUUCCAGAUGCUUGGAGGAAAAAUCCAUCUAGAUCGGUUGGUUGCCUACUUCUCUGGUGGAACAGUAAUCUCUGCUAAGGUGUAUCUCUGUUAAGGUAUGUGCAUGUACACACACCUACACAUCCCUUUUGUCGUGAAUAAUACAGCUCCUAAGCUGCUCUGUGGAUUCAAAAUGGCAUUUAACGUUCUUGAGAAGAGUCACACUGGCUCAGCCCAGAGGUUCAUCUAAUCCAGCCUUCUGUUCCGAUAGUGGCCCACCAGACGCGCCAUGAGAAGCCUACACUUGGUAUGUGCGUGCAGUAGCCACUCCUGCCUGGGUUCCCUGACAACCACAACUCAGAAACAAAAUUUGUCCAUAUGUUAAAACACACAAUGCAUUUCCCUACUCCCCAUUUUUUCUGCAUAGCCAAAGCUAUGGGAUGUUGGAAGUUGUAGACCCAUAACAUCUGGGAGGGCUCCAUGCUUCCUUUUCUUGAUGUGUUGACUCCACCACAUAAGGGCCGACGUAAGGAAGCGGAGAAGAAAUCAGAAUUCAAAAUGGAAUGUGUUGUGAUUCUUCCUUAGUGCACUGCCAAUGGAGAGCCAGGUAAAACAGCCCUCCUUCCUCUCUCUUCCCCACCCAUGUACAAGUAAAGGCAGCUCAGGAUUCCAUAUA